ACCUCUGUUACAUGGCCACUUCAAUGUUUUUUAAACUUAUUUGAACUCCGGACUUCUUUUGUGUUCAGUAUGCAGCAUUUAAAGCGACGUCAUCAAUUUCCAACAUGUUCUGACAUCAUUUGUUGUUUUUCGGUCAUUUACCUAAUUGUUUAGAGAGCUAAAUGACCGUGAAAUUGAAAAUCACUACAAAAUGAAUCCUGAAAAUGUUGAAACUUGGCAUGGUAUCAUCGUAUCACCCGCAUAGCAUGCGCGAAAGAGUAGAGAGGGUCACGGCAAAAACUGGACGCACUUCGUGUACAAACUGGACAAACUCUUUCCGAGUAUCAGGGUUUCGGACGAGAACUCAUCUGUUACAUGGCCACUUCAAUGUUUUUUAAACUUAUUUGAACUCCAGACUUCUUUUGUGUUCAGUAUGCAGCAUUUAAAGCGACGUCAUCAAUUUCCAACAUGUUCUGGCAUCAUUUUUUCGGUCAUUUACCUAAUUGUUUAGAGAGCUAAAUGACCGUGAAAUUGAAAAUCACUACAAAAUGAAUCCUGAAAAUGUUGAAACUUGGCAUGGUAUCAUCGUAUCACCCGCAUAGCAUGCGCGAAAGAGUAGAGAGGGUCACGGCAAAUAAAUAAUGCAGAAAAGAAAAAAACUAUAUAAAAAACUACUCAAAAAUAAAUAAAAGAAAAUAACUAAUGCAGAAAAGAAAAAACUAUAUAAAAAAUUUGUUGGCGCACUGCCCUAUGGGUCUACCAGACCUAGGGUGUGCAAAUGCAGGCCCAGAAGGGCCAACAGACUCACAGGGCAGCGCGUCCUAAUUAAUUAGGCCUAGAAGCCUGCUAUAUAGAGGAGUUCGAAGAGGUAGCCGCGGCUGGGUUUAUAAACCAGUGCGGCUGCCCUUCGCCGGGCGAGGUGGGACUAAAUUUUGGGGUGGCAGCGCAAACUCAAAAUACAGAAAAAAACAACUAAAAAUAAAUAAAACAAAAUAAAUAAAGCAGAAAAGAAAAAACUAAAUGAAAAAAGCCCACCUACUGGGCCACAGCGGCCUGCAUACGACUAGAAACCCAACCUGUUGUUGGGCCAGGAUGCAGGCCCGCAAGCCCAAUAGGCCCCACAGGGCAGAGUAGUAGAGGUAGGCCCAGAAGGCUUGCUUUAGAGAGGAGCUCGAGACAGCAGCGGCGGCGGGGCUUAUAAGCAGGUGUGUGCGCCCUUCGGCUAGCAAGGUGGGACUAAACUUCUGCGCCCCUCGCCUGGCAGCGCACACCCUUUAGUACCGGUUGGUGGCUCCAACCGGGUACUAAAGGCCCCCCUUUAGUACCGGUUGGUGGCUCCAACCGGUACUAAAAGCCUUCGUUUCCCGCCGCUUGGCCUGGGGAAAAUAGGCCUUUAGUACCGGUUGGAGCCACGAACCGGUACUAAAGGCCAAUCCUAUAUAUAUAGCACUUACGAAAAUUUCAGUUUCAACGCCGCAUUUCGUCUCCAACCUCCGCCGCGCGCGCCGCUUGAUCCCGUCGUCGCCGCCCGUCGCCCGUACCGUCGUCCGUCGUCAUCGUCGCUGUCCCCGCCGCCGCCCGUCAUCAUCGUCGUCUCGCGCUGCCGCCCCGAACGCCGCCGCCGUCCGUCGUCAUCGCCGCGGCCGUACGUCUCUCUCUCGCUCCCGCACACACAUACACACACAUACACACACACCGACGCCCCCGCCCCGUACGCCGGCGCCCCCGCUCGUACGUACGGGGCGGCGGCAUAUGGGGCCGCACACACACACACAUAUACCACACACACACACGCAUACACACACACAUACACACAUACGUACACACAUAUACGUAUAUAUACACACACACAAUUUUUUUUACUUAUUUUCUGUUUUUUUAGAAAAGUUAAUUAGAUGAUCGAAUUUUAGAUUAAUGUCGAAUGUUAGAUGAAUUAGCUAGCUAGAUAGAAAAAUUGUCGAACUAGAGAUUAGAACUAGUUGAAUAAUNNNNNNNNNNAGAGAGAGAGAGAGAGAGAGAGAGAGAGAGAGAGGAGCAUACAUAAUCCUGCAGUGGAGGGCAGUGUCUCGGAACUUCUCUAUGACGUGGAGGGAGGGAGCUCCAAAUGAGUCAGCUCUCGGCUGCAAUGACUUGAUGGAGGUACGAGUGGGUGUGGACAUGGACCGGGCUAGCUUAUAUACGUGAACUUGUUAGGUGAUUAUUACAACUUUUCCUCUCGAUACAUGCAUUACUUAUUUUUUUAAAGAGGAUCUGCAUUGGACGCGUGGUGGCUGGUACGUCACUACCUCACUGAAGAUCAGACCCUAGUUCGUUGCUCUAUUAAUUUUAGUAGACGACUCGCUGCGUCAAUUGAUGUAGAGACAAACUACAUGCUGGAAGUUAAAUGGACUGUUUGAAAGAUUUUUUCUUCAAGUGUCUGCAAAUGAUUAUGAUCAUACUGCUCCCUCAUUUGCCUUGACGAUGAUCAUUAUCCAUAACUUUCUUUGCCGACUUACUUUUGAUGGCACAUAUAGUAGACACUCCUUUAGUGAAUCAUUCCGAAAGGACGACCAAGAAGGUGAAAUGACUAAAUUGACGCAGAGACCAACUGCAGACCAGAAGGUAAGGAAACUAUAUAUCUCUGACACUGCAGCCAAGAAGUAAAACAAUACUACAGACAACACGUCGAACAGAUGUUUGUUCUGUAAAUAAUCUCCAAAGGCCAUUAGCAUGGAUAAGAAUAUAUACGGGAAUGGUGUAAAUGAUUAGAUGUGAAUGAACAAAUGGAAACAAGAAUAUAAGCCAUAAAAUAGCCUUUUGGAGGCGGCUUUGGAGGUUGGUUGGCCUGUCGUGCUAUUGCAGUGUUCCGAGUUGGGGUUGCCUAAGUGGACCCGUCCUUUUGCGCGUGUCACGACAUGGGGCUUUGUUCAAGCUCCCAGGCACGCACUCUUUUGUGCAGCUAUGGUUGAGCCAACCAUUAUUUUGGUCCGGGCAGUGGCCUAACCGCCAGAUGCCAUGGUCUUCUGCGCCAGUUCCGCACCACAUUUCAUUGCCGUGAUCAUUGAUAGUACAGAUGCCAACGGCGCACAGAUGAACAGCAGACAGAAAGUCGAUAGUUCCUCAUCACAGAAUACCUCUGUUCACAGCCACGACCCCACGACCCACCAAGCAUAGCAAGGUCCUCUCUGUUUUGCCUCUACACCUCGUUGGGGAGGUAAUAGCAUCCCAGGUCCUGAACUUGCAUGUCAGGUGAUGCUUUAGUCCUUGUACUUGAAAAAGCUGAUUAUUUCAUCGCUCAACUUGCAAUGGAUGUGCAAAUUUAGUCCACAGUCACUCACAGCUCGCCAAGUGGAUGCCAAGUGGCCUGGCUGGUCAGCGCGCUGCAUUUUUCACAUAGCCCCCUGCCUUCUUGCCUUAUCAACCCGCAGUACUUCACCUGAGUUAAUUUGUCGGCUCAAGGGUAUAUUCCUUUGGCAUAUCCUAUCCUGUCGGCUCUCUCCUAUCCACUCGCCUAUCUGCUUCUUCUUCUUCAGCUCGUCUGCUCCAGAUCGCCGCCGCCGUCCAUCUCGACACCGCCUUGCAGCUCGCGGCCAUGGUUUCUUGGAGUGAAGGAUCCAGCUCGUCGUUGGAAGGCUACUCUGUGACAAGUGAGGUUAGUUCGUCCACCUCCAGUUAGGGUUAGGGAUCCUACUGCUAAGAAAUGGUCAAUGUUGUGCUGACAAGAAUGUGUUGUAGGCUCCUGCUGCUGCCACUAUCUUCUGCUCAGAGUGGAGUGGCCUUGCUCCAGAUCUCUCAGUUAGAUGUGAACACCAAUGCGUCUGUGAGAAGUUUGUGUCCUUUGAAUCUGUUGACAGUGGUAGAAGGUAUCUUGCUUGUGCACGGAAGGUUAGUAGAUUUAUAGUUAUUGGAAUGUGUCAUGUCACUUUGAUCUGUAUAAGAGUGCAGCAAUAUAGUUAACAGAAGAAAUCUGUAGUUAGUUAACUUAAUUUUUCAUUUGACUGAAGAUAAUUGCAGCUAUAUCCAAAUUCAGUUGCCUGAAGAAAACUGCAGUAUGUUAACUGAACUUUUCAGUUAACAUCUUUUUUUAUCUAAAGUUGUAUUCUUUUCUUAUUUGGUAGGAAAUUCCUAAAUGCAACUUUGUGGAGUGGAUUGACCCUGAAUGGCCUGCCACUCUGAAGAUGAGUUUAGCUAGGGUUUGGGGCAUGUAUGAUGAUGAGAACAAGCUAAGGCUCAGGGAAAGUGUAGUUCUUGCUGAAGAAAAUUUUAGGGUUCUGAAAGAGAAGGAAAAGAUGGAAAAUGAUCUGAGGUUUUUUAAGCUAGAUUUUGCUAAGAUGGUGGGUGACAAGGAGCAGGCAAUUAUUGAAUUGGGCAAUGCAAGACUUGCUCUUUCUGACCUAAAGGAAGAGCUUGAGAAGAAAAAGAUGUCUGAUAAAUCUACCACUAGCAUUCAUCAGGUUGUGAGGGCUAAGGCAGAGAAAGAGAGGGAUGAGAUGAAGAAACAGAUGGACAGCAUGAAGGAAGAGUUGGACAAAGUGGUGUCACAGAGGGAUGAGUUGAAGAAGGAGAAGAAGCAACUAGAGUACAUGAUUGGUGAUCUAUUCAGGCACAAGGAGGAGACCAAGAGCAAGAUAAGGAGGGUGAAGGAGAUCUUAGAUGAAUUUGAGUAAUUCAUUCAAGAAGAUCUAUUAAUUAGUUGUAUUGAAUUUGUUGGUUUAAUGCCAGUAUUAUGUAAUGCACUUAAUUUGUAUGAAUGCUUUUAGUUAACUAAAUCUGUAUGACUGCUUUUAUUGUUACUAGUUAUCUGAAUGUCUCCAGAUAAGUGCAAUUUUUACAGUGUCAAUUAACUUAGUUUGUAGUUAACUGAAGUUCACUUAUCUGAAGAUUCAGUUAACUGAAUGUAAAUGAUAUAUCUUUAGUUAAACACAAAUUGAGUUUUCUGAAGAUUCAGUUAACUGGAUGUACAUGAUAUAUCUUCAGUUAAACACAAAUUGAGUUAUCUGAAGAUUCAGUUAACUGGAUUUAAAUGAGAAAUCUUCAGUUAAACACAAAUUGAAUUAUCUAAAGAUUCAGUUAACUGGAUUUAAAUGAUAAAUCUUCAGUUAACCACAAAUUCAGUUAUCUGAAGAAUUUAGUUAACUGAAUUUUACUGAGAAAUCUUUAGUUAACUACAAAUUGAGUUAUCUGAAGAUCACAACUUAACUGAAUUUUAAUGAGAAAUCAUUAGUUAACUACAAAUUCAGUUAUCUAUAUCUUCAGUUAACUGUUGCAUUGCAAAGCAACAUUGCAAAGCAGCAGCAACAUUGCAAAGCAGCAGCAGCAGCAACAACAACAUUGCAAAGCAACAACAGAAUGCCCUACAUAACUGUUGCAUUCUUUCUUUGCAAAGUUGUAGCUACAGACCACAUUAUAACAGAGCAUUUGUAACAGCAGCAGCACCAGCAAAUCAAAGCAUGAUAACAAGAUAGGCAUAGCAAAGCAGAUUUACUAUAUAGAUAGCAUGCAGAUGUCCUAAACAUUGCAGGAUUGUUCAAACAAUAUAGCAGAAGUGCAACAUUACAAUUAACUUAUGUGCUCUGCAUAUAUAGAGCACACCUAACAUAAACUAACCAAAAUAUCACUAACUUAUAUGCUGAAUUUUCUUGCUAGUCAGCAUACCUAACUACUGCAUCAUCUUCUUGUCCAUCAUCUUCAGUUCAGUUGUUCAGGUGCUUCAGGCGCUCCGAGCGGCGCACCUCCCCUGCAAAUGGCCUUUUCUUCGUCUUCUCCAGCUUCUGUGGUGCCGUUGCCACCUUCUCCUCUUCUGCCUCAUCCAUCACCUCCUGCUUGACGAUGUCUGUCACAUCUGGGAGCACCUCCACGUCAAUUGGGAGGUCUCUGUCGCCCUCAUUGGCGUUGUGGACUGGCGCCAUCAUCUGGAUCUCGUCCUCUUCCUCCUCUUCCUCGUCGUCCUACAGGACAACGACGGACACCUCCUCAUCGCCAGACGAGGCAUACGACGCAGAGGAGUCAGAAUCCCCUCUGUAGCCCGAGUCGUUGUCGGAGUCCACCUUGCAGUACUCCGAGUCGGACGACAGAGAGACGUCGUUGUCGUCGACGUGCACGAGGGGCACCGGCGCAGGCAGGGCCAGAACCACAUCGUGGACGCGCUGCAUCCUCGACCACAUGCGCGUCGGAUCCGACUGCGGCUGCUGCAUGGUGGCGGACCUAUACAUCCACCAACGCCAGCGCUGCCUCGGAUUGUCGGAGCGCGUCUCCGCCAUUGCGAAGCGGAAGAUGUUGGCCGGAUGCGUACCUGGGCCGUCCACGAGAGCGCGCCUCUUCUCGUCGUCGGUCAUCUGCUCGAUGAGGCCCCGCGCGUGGUUCCUAAGCAUGUCGAUGUUGAGGAACCACCGGCCUAUCUCCUGGAGCUCCGCGCGCGACCUGGUCGUCUCCUGCCAGCUCGUCGACCAUCCUCUGCCAUGCAGGGUGGCUGUCCAUGGCGUCAGCGGCGGCGUCGAGAUGGCCGGCGAGGGUUUUCUUCUUAGGUGGAGUGGGAGGUGGGGCGCGUAGAGCCCGAGGCGUCGUGAAACGGUAGUGGUGAGUGGGGGCGGUGGGUGGUGGGUGGUGGCCUCUUAAUAGAGAUGGAAGAGCGAACGGCACCGCUCUGACCAGCAUGUACAGUUUAUCUCACUAUAAUAAACGUGGCAAUUAGUAUCUAGCAGAUCACUAUUACUAGCGCGUUGGCAUGGAGCUCAGCCUAUCACACACAGGGUCCUGGGCUCGAUCCCCAGGACAAACAUUUUUUUGGGAAAAUUAUUUUUAGUUCACAGCAGCAGUAUUCACUCCAAAAUAUAUCAUGAUUUUGUUAACCCAGCACCUAUUUUUGAAGAUAUUUUUUAAACCUGAAUUUCAGAUAAAAACAACAAUGUUCACAGCAGUAGUACUAACUGAAAGCAGCAAUGUUCAGAUAAAAACCUGGAUUAUCUACAACCUAACAAAUCACUACUAUUACUCUACUGGCAUUGUUCUCAACGAUUGUAACAAUAGGUCCUGGGUUCGAGCCCUAGGCACACCAUUUUUUUUAAUUUUUUCACAAUCAUUUAGGUUACUCACACUAGUAGAAAAAGGGUCAAACGUGAAGCACAUUAGUGCCGGUUUGUAUUUGAGCCGGCACUAAUGUGCACAUUAGUGCCGGUUCGUGGCGACGAUCAAUAGUACCGGUUCGUGGCGAACCUUUAGUACCGGUUCGUGGCAUGAACCGGUACUAAAAAUGCUGUGUCAUCCUGCGGUCAGGCUAUGGCCCCACCAUCACCAUUUAGUGCCGGUUCGUACCACGAACCGGUACUAAUGAGCGGUGCCGGUUACGGCAAGCUGUUUUUAGUCCCACCUCGCCAAGAGAGAGGCAGUAUGAGCGGUUUAUAAGCCGUGAGUGCACAGACAAUGACGAAGAGUUGCAAUGCUCACCUACAUGUUGAUCUGCUUCAAGCCUUGCGGAAUAGCAUAGAUUGCACUAAGCUAUGUGCAGUGGCUUAGUGCAAUCUACACUAUUCCGAAUGGUUUGAAGCAAAUUAACCAACAUUGCACCUCUUUUUUAUUUUUAAUAACUUAUUUAAACUCCGGACUUCUUUUGUGUUCAGUAUGCAACAUUUAAAGCUUGUUAUGCCUCAAGGUUGUUGUGGUUUGGAAAUUAUGGAUUUGACAACCAUGAAUCAUAGCUUUUUGUGUAAGUGACUUGGGAAACUCAAGUUUGGCAAACUCUAUUGACUAGUAGAAAAACGGUCAAAUGUGAAGCACAUUAUAGUGCCGGUUUGAAUUUGAGCCGGCACGAAUGUGACCAUUAGUGCCGAUUCCAACGGCUAGGCGGGCUGCUACCAUUAGUACUGGUUCGUUGCCAAUCUUUAGCACCGGUUCGUGGCACGAACCGAUACUAAUGUGCAUCCCACCAAUCAGGAAGAAUCACACGGAUCGUGUGUUUCUUUCUAGCUCUUGCGAGUCGUUGGAUCAAGGGUGUGUUUCUUCCUAGCUCAUGUGAGUCGUUGGAUCGAAACUACCGCAAUCACUUUGUGAGCCAGACAACCCUAUAUAUAGCCCAUCUCUCGCCUUCCCUGCAUAAGUCUUUCAGUUCAUCGAGUACAUACAUCUACCAGUUCAUCGACUGCAUACUUCUACCAGUUCAUCGACUGAAUAUAAAUCAUUCAGAUUCGCCAUCAUACGCCCAACCGUGCAUUUGAAAUGCAUAUAUAUGCAUCACGAGCCACGGUAGGGCUGUAUGAUGGCGAUACCGAUUGGUUUGUUCUAGAUCCGACAUAAAAGGUUUGAUACAACUUCUUUUUUGUGACAUAAGAUCUAACAUUGUUGCUUCUAGUAGUUCUCUUGAUUCCACUAAUGAUUCUCUUAGCCAAGUUACACUUGAGCAAGAAAAUAGCUUAUUGAAGGGAAGAAUCAAGGUGUUGGUUUUGAACGAAAGUUCAAUGCCAAUGGAGUUGAGUGGGAAGAAGAUCAAUACCCCAAGACAAAGUUUGUUCCUCAACAAGAGAAGUAUCCUACUUCCUUCAAGGGGACACAAGCUCAAGAUGAUCUUCUACAUGUUGAUUAGCUUCAAGCCUUGCGGAAUAGCAUAGAUUGCACUGAGCUAUGUGCAGUGCAGUCUACACUAUUCCGAAUGGCUUGAAGCAAAUUAACCAGCAUUGCACCUCUGUUACAUGGCCACUUCAAUGUGUUUUAAACUUAUUUGAACUCCGGACUUCUUUUGUGUUCAGUAUGCAGCAUUUAAAGCGACGUCAUCAAUAUCCAACAUGUUCUGACAUCAUUUGUUGUUUUUUGGUCAUUUACCUAAUUGUUUAGAGAGCUAAAUGACCGUGAAAUUGAAAAUCACUCCAAAAUGAAUCCUGAAAAUGUUGAAACUUGGCAUGGUAUCAUCAUAUCUCCCGCAUAGCAUGCGCGAAAGAGUAGAGAGGGUCACGGCAAAAACUGGACGCACUUCGUGUACAAACUGGACCUACUCUUUCCGAGUAUCAGGGUUUCGGACGAGAACUCAUCUGUUACAUGGCCACUUCAAUGUUUUUUAAACUUAUUUGAACUCCGGACUUCUUUUGUGUUCAGUAUGCAGCAUUUAAAGCGACGUCAUCAAUUUUCAACAUGUUCUGACAUCAUUUGUUGUUUUUCGGUCAUUUACCUAAUUGUUUAGAGAGCUAAAUGACCGUGAAAUUGAAAAUCACUACAAAAUGAAUCCUGAAAAUGUUGAAACUUGGCAUGGUAUCAUCGUAUCACCCGCAAACAUGCGCGAAAGAGUAGAGAGGGUCACGGCAAAAACUGGACGCACUUCGUGUACAAACUGAACAAACUCUUUCCGAGUAUCAGGGUUUCGGACUAUGCAAAAAUAAUUAAUGCAGAAAAUAAAAGAACUAUACAAAAAAAUUACUCAAAAAUAAAUAGAAGAAAAUAAAUAAUGCAGAAAAAAAACUAUAUAAAAACUACUCAAAAAUAAAUAAAUAAAAAUAAGUAAUGCAGAAAAGAAAAAACUAUAUAGCAAAUUUGUUGGCGCACUGCCCUGUGGGUCUACCAGACCUAGGGUGUGCA
rnacentral:lncRNA from 1 species